UGCUCACAGGGGAAGUGCAAUACUGCGAUUCGCUACAUGUAAGACCGUCCGUGCCCAAAUUUUUCGCAUCUAAGUGUACCUUGCUACCUGUGUAUCAAUCAACAGGCACAGAACCCUUCCGUGAAUUGAAUUAUUUUUCCGCAAAAUGGUGUCUCAUUGAUCAUACAAAGCUACCAGCAGUUAGUUUUCCAACUGACAUCAGAAUUUUACAUGUAUCGGCUGUAUAAAUUUUCUAAAGAAUUAAUAAUCAUUAUCUCUCACCUUAAUUUACAGACAUCCAAAAUCACGAUGUUCUCUUUAUAACAAAUAUUGACGGGGCCAAAAUUCGAAAGUGUACCCUGCUACCUCAUAGACCGCUAUUUUUACGGGAUGUUAGUCAAAACGUCCCCUAGUCAGAACGUCCCCUAGUCAAAACACCCCAUUUUGGUCAAAACGUCCCCCUUUUCUGGUCAAAACACCCCCUUUCCAAAAAUUACCAGGUUAAAACACCCCCCUUAAAAAUUAUAUAUGUAAAUACAUAUUAUUUAAGUUAAUUUAAUGAUUUAAUUCAAGAAGUUUGUAAACAGGUAUCUAAAAGUAUAAUUGCACAACAAUUAAACAAUGUGGAAAAAGUUAUAUAACUAUUAAAAUUAAUGAAGGUUUCCAAACAGUCUAUUAAUCCUAAUCUGCAAGCAAUCAUUUGCAGUGAUUGAUGUUUAAAUAACUUUGAAUUUGAUUGAAAAAAACUUGUCUUUAAUCUAAAAUUUUGCAUCAAUUAAAGUAAUAAAGUAAACUGAAAUUUGCAAGUGCUUUAUAAUCAUCCUUAAUAUUUAUUGCUUUAAUUGAUUAAUUAGUCUCUUUUUUUUUAUUUUUAUUAAUUACGCUUCAAACAUUUUUUUUCAUGCUAUAAAGUCUACUGAAAAUUAUAUUCAACCUGUAAUUUUCUUAGUAUCCUAGUGUAUGUAUACUGUCUGUCUCUGUGGAUAGUGUGUUGGAUUGUUAUUUGUUUAAAUAUCAGUGCUUUAAUAAGAUAACGUAAUAAUGGAGUGUCCUUGCAUUAAGUGUAGGAACGAAGUAAGACUGCGCCAACAGGCCAUUGCCUGCGACUCGUGUACGCGGCAACUGGCAACACAGAACCUGUAACACAGGUAUUUCAGCAGCAGCAUGCAGACAGGCAGUCCGUGAUGAGUCUGAGCUGAAUUUCAUUUGUGAACCGUUUAAAGAUCAAAUACCCCCACUGAUGAAGUUGCAGAAGAGCAACUACCGCACAGGGGGUAUGUCUGCAAGUUCCUUGCUAGAAAAGAAGAGUGCUCACCAUUUACAAACCAAGGCUCACCACAACAGUUCAGUAUGAGGAAUAAUUGUGAUAAAAACAUUAACUAGCAGAAAGUGAAUUUGACUUCUUCAUAUUGUGUAGCUGGAACACUGUGAAUUAAUAUUGUGACAUGAUAUUGUGAAUUUGACUUCUUGGUGUAGAACAGUGAAUGAAUAGUGUGGUAUGUUAUUUUUACUUCAUAAAUAUGCAG